AUGAGUCGACCACAAAAAUUGAACGCCCGAGCAACUAAGAUCGGGGAUGCGGUCAUCAGGGUCGUCUGCAUAUCAACACUCCCUGGAACAAAGCUAUCAGUUGCAAUGCACUUUAUGGGGAACUCAGUUAGAACAAUACGUGAAGUAUUUUUGCCACACAUGAUGUGCCUUCCUAUAGAGUUGCCCGUAACAAAGCACUUCCAGGGAUCAGGAGACCCAGCCAUGGGGGGAAACGAGGAGAAGGUCGGGGUGAGCUCCUCCAUGGAUCCGGUAUCGACCACCGUGGCCACCUCGCUGGUGUUGUCGGUGGUGGCCGGGAAUGCAGUGUCGGUUCUGGCCAUGGCCGGAUCCGAGGAGCACAACAAUGGGAGAUUGGGGAGGGAGAAGAACGGCGAUGGUGGAGGCCCCCCUCCGUCGAUCUAG
rnacentral:rRNA from 1 species